CACCGCGGUUAUACGAGAGGCCCAAGAUAACAGACCUUCGGCGUAAAGAGUGGUUAAAUCUACUAUAAACUAGAGACAAACUAUCUCGAAGCUGUUAUACGCUCUUGAGAAUGGGAAGUUCUUCCACGAAAGUGACUUUAUUUUGUUGAACCCACGAAAGCCAGGGCA
rnacentral:rRNA from 1 species